rnacentral:tRNA from 1 species
CCAUUGGUGGUUCAGUGGUAGAAUUCUCACCUUCUACGUGGGAGACCGGGGUUCGAUUCCCGACCAGUGCA